CCAGCCAGAUCCUCCUGUGCCCUCCUGGUAGGAGCCACUAUGGACAAUUCAGAGUUUGAUCAAGGCUUAAUCCUUAAUCCCUCCUGAUGAGUCAUGGGUGGGACCCCAAUUCCAUUUCUCCCCAUUGUCCCCUCACAGAUUAGAAAUCAGGUGGCUGAGAGCCUGGCAGAGGUCUGCAGAGUGAGGACAGCAUAGGCAGGCAUGCUGGAAAUCCUGAGGGAGGCCUUGGGGCAGGCCUUCCUGGACAGCUGGCCCAUCAACUGGCCCUGCUUCCCAGACCCCAUAAGGGCCUGCAUUUCCUCCCCACAGGAGGGGAUGCUGGGAAGCCUGAUGUCCUCUGUCCUUGACUCCUUGCUGGAGCUGAUCUCCCAAGUGCAUCACACCACCAAACUUCUCCUGGCCCAGCUAGAGCAUGCCAAGCCCACUGAGGCAGAGCCCAAGGAUGAGGAAGACUGUGGUGUGAGCCUAUGGGCAUGUGGGGAGGGAGGGGCCUUUGGACACAGAGAGAGUGUCCAGUACAUGGGGACACUCAGCAGUCAGUGGGCUGAUGCAGUCUGUGGGGACUUCCUGGGGGAGGCUUUAUGCACAGAGCUCUCUCUGACAGGAAGUGGGAAGGUUGUGCCCCAGGAAGGAACAUGGACAGUUGGUGAUCUUUUCUUCUCUUUCAACUGCAGGAGCAGCUCCACUCAAAGCUGAAGUCCCAGCUGCAGAGCCUGUGCCAGCUCCACCUGCAGCUUGCUCCUCAGCUCUGCCACCACAGGGAAAGCCGGUGCCAGGAACCCCUUUUCCACCAGCUGCACAGCUGGGUCACCUGGUGGCUCCUCAGCAGGUGUCAGCUCCUGAGCCCCCCCUGGGGCCAGCUCCUGCCCCACCCCUGCCAUUCCCCUCUAU
rnacentral:lncRNA from 1 species